rnacentral:rRNA from 1 species
AAAUUAUUUUUUGCUUUGUUCAAAUAAGGUUUUCUAAUAAAUUAUGUUUUUAUCAGAUAUGACAGAAUCUUUUUUAAAAUCUCUUCAAUAUGCUUUUAUUGCUUUUGAGAGGUUUUGUUACUUUGAGUAAAAUUAAGUGUUCAUAACAGACGGGUAGUCAUGAUUGAGUUCAUUGUGU